UUCCAUGCCAAUGGUACCGACGUGUGUCU
rnacentral:piRNA from 1 species